CAAACUAAAGAUGGCGACCGGCGCACGGGUGAGUAACACGUAUCCAACCUGCCGAUAACUCGGGGAUAGCCUUUCGAAAGAAAGAUUAAUAUCCGAUAGUAUAUUUUCUCCGCAUGGCGAGAAUAUUAAAGAAUUUCGGUUAUCGAUGGGGAUGCGUUCCAUUAGUUUGUUGGCGGGGUAACGGCCCACCAAGACUACGAUGGAUAGGGGUUCUGAGAGGAAGGUCCCCCACAUUGGAACUGAGGCACGGUCCAA
rnacentral:rRNA from 1 species